UAUGAGAAAUGAGGGCUAGAUC
rnacentral:siRNA from 1 species